rnacentral:lncRNA from 1 species
GAGGAAGUGGACUCGGCAGGAUGUCGCAUCCUGGGCCUACGUAGUUUGUCGGAAACAAACAUCAGAGUCAACGUAGUUCGGGGAAAAGAGAGACAUGCUCGCUAGGACAUCGCAUCCUAUGCCUACGUAUCUUCUCUAUCCAGAGGAGAAUCAGAGCACUCGUAGCUCGGCUAACGCACGCCGAAACAAAACACCAAAAAGAGACGCUGAGACGUCAAAAGAAAACACUCAAAAGGAAACAAAAUGCCAAUACAUGGGCUUAUAUCUGACUCCCAAGAACAACACAAAAGGAAACAAAAUGCCAAUACAUGGACUUAUAUCCGACUCCACACAAAAACAAACAAGGAAACAGAAUGCCAAUACUUGGACUUAUAUCCGACUCCAAACAAUAGCACACGCUAACCAGCGAACAUAAAAGAAAAAGGUUAUCUGUGCGAACCACAACAAAGCAAUCAAAUAUUCAAAGAUGAACCCCAAAGAUGAACCCCAAAUGAUAAUCACCACAAUCGUCACAAAUGAACCCCAAGCGAGUGACAACCGUCACAAAUGAACCCCAAUGAAUCUCAAGGAUGAACCCCACAAGGUAUAAACAUA